rnacentral:rRNA from 1 species
GAGACUCUGUGCGCGUGCAUAUCAAUAAGCGGAGGAAAAGAAACUAACAAGGAUUCCCUUAGUAACGGCGAGUGAAGCGGGAAGAGCUCAAAUUUGAAAUCUUCAAGGUUCUACCUUGACGAAUUGUAGUUUAAAGAAGUGUUUUCUGUUGGAGUUUUGGUAAAAGUUCUUUGGAAUAGGACAUCAUAGAGGGUGAGAAUCCCGUAUUUGACUAUUCUUUCUAGCUUUGUGAUACACUUUCAAAGAGUCGGAUUGUUUGGGAAUGCAGUCCAAAAUGGGUGGUAAAUUUCAUCUAAAGCUAAAUAUUGGCGAGAGACCGAUAGCGAACAAGUACCGUGAGGGAAAGAUGAAAAGAACUUUGAAAAGAGAGUUAAACAGUACGUGAAAUUGUCAAAAGGGAAACGUUUGACACCAGUGUUGUUUUUCCGAAAAUCAAUUACGAAUGUUUUAUUUUUGAGGAGUUAUGACUUCAUCGGCUUGCUCCUUUCUUUAUGAAACUUUCUUAAUGCACUUUUCGGUUAACAAGUCAACAUCAAUUUCUUUUGUUGUAAAAGGGUAUGAGGAAGGUGGCUUUCUUUUCGGAGAAAGUGUUUAUAGCCUUGUGCCUCUGCAAUCGGAGAGAUUGAGGUCUGCAGCGUAGAUCCUUCGGGGUUAGAUACAUUUGUGCUAAGUUAUAGCUUUUCAUAGACAACUUGUUGACUAUGUUUAGUCUUGUAGCCUACUCGCUGACGCUAUUUUACCUACGCUUAGGAUGUUGAAGUCAUCGUAUCGCGC